GAUGAACGCUGGCGGCGUGCCUAAUACAUGCAAGUCGAGCGAACAGACGAGGAGCUUGCUCCUCUGACGUUAGCGGCGGACGGGGGAGUAACACGUGGAUAACCUACCUAUAAGACUGGGAUAACUUCGGGAAACCGGAGCUAAUACCGGAUAAUAUAUUGAACCGCAUGGUUCAAUAGUGAAAGACGGUUUUGCUGUCACUUAUAGAUGGAUCCGCGCCGCAUUAGCUAGUUGGUAAGGUAACGGCUUACCAAGGCAACGAUGCGUAGCCGACCUGAGAGGGUGCUCGGCCACACUGGAACUGAGACACGGUCCAGACUCCUACGGGAGGCAGCAGUAGGGAAUCUUCCGCAAUGGGCGAAAGCCUGACGGAGCAACGCCGCGUGAGUGAUGAAGGUCUUCGGAUCGUAAAACUCUGUUAUUAGGGAAGAACAAAUGUGUAAGUAACUAUGCACGUCUUGACGGUACCUAAUCAGAAAGCCACGGCUAACUACGUG
rnacentral:rRNA from 1 species